rnacentral:rRNA from 1 species
GACGCUGGCGGUGUGCCUCAUACAUGCAAGUCGAACGAGAAGAAAGAGCUUGCUCUUUCGGAAAGUGGCGGACGGGUGAGUACAACAUAGGAAAUCUGCCUUUAGGUGGGGGACAACAGAGGGAAACUUCUGCUAAUACCCCAUAUGAGCUAGCCUGAAAUGGCUAUCUUGAAAGUUCCGGCGCCUAAAGAUGAGCCUGUGCCUGAUUAGCUAGUUGGUGGUGUAAUGGACUACCAAGGCGACGAUCAGUAGCUGGUUUGAGAGGAUGAUCAGCCACAAUGGGACUGAGACACGGCCCAUACUCCUACGGGAGGCAGCAGUAGGGAAUUUUGCGCAAUGGGCGAAAGCCUGACGCAGCAACACCGCGUGAAUGUUAAGCCCUUCGGGGUGUAAAGUUCUGUCAGUAGGGAAGAACAAAUGACUGUACCUACAAAGGAAGCACCGGCUAACUCCGUG